UUGUCCUACGGGACGCAGCAGUGGGGAAUAUUGCACAAUGGGGGAAACCCUGAUGCAGCGACGCCGCGUGAGUGAGGAAGUAUUUCGGUAUGUAAAGCUCUCUCAGCAGGGAAGAAAAUGACGGUACCUGACUAGGAAGCCCCGGCUAACUACGUGCCAGCAGCCGCGGUAAUACGUAGGGGGCAAGCGUUAUCCGGAUUUACUGGGUGUAAAGGGAGCGUAGACGGACUUGCAAGUCUGAUGUGAAAAUCCGGGGCCCAACCCCGGAACUGCAUUGGAAACUGUAUAUCUAGAGUGUCGGAGAG
rnacentral:rRNA from 1 species